rnacentral:rRNA from 1 species
ACGGGUGAGUAACGCGUAAAGAACUUGCCUCACAGUUAGGGACAACAUUUGGAAACGAAUGCUAAUACCUGAUAUUAUGAUUUUAGGGCAUCCUAAGAUUAUGAAAGCUAUAUGCGCUGUGAGAGAGCUUUGCGUCCCAUUAGCUAGUUGGAGAGGUAACGGCUCACCAAGGCGAUGAUGGGUAGCCGGCCUGAGAGGGUGAACGGCCACAAGGGGACUGAGACACGGCCCUUACUCCUACGGGAGGCAGCAGUGGGGAAUAUUGGACAAUGGACCAAAAGUCUGAUCCAGCAAUUCUGUGUGCACGAUGACGUUUUUCGGAAUGUAAAGUGCUUUCAGUUGGGAAGAAAAAAAUGACGGUACCAACAGAAGAAGUGACGGCUAAAUACGUGCCAGCAGCCGCGGUAAUACGUAUGUCACAAGCGUUAUCCGGAUUUAUUGGGCGUAAAGCGCGUCUAGGUGGUUAUGUAAGUCUGAUGUGAAGAUGCAGGGCUCAACUCUGUAUUGCGUUGGAAACUGCAUGACUAGAGUACUGGAGAGGUAAGCGGAACUACAAGUGUAGAGGUGAAAUUCGUAGAUAUUUGUAGGAAUGCCGAUGGGGAAGCCAGCUUACUGGACAGAUACUGACGCUAAAGCGCGAAAGCGUGGGUAGCAAACAGGAUUAGAUACCCUGGUAGUCCACGCCGUAAACGAUGAUUACUAGGUGUUGGGGG